GCAGGGCAAUUAUGGUCUGUCAUUAAAUAUAUCUCUAUCGUCUACCGAAAGUGGAAUUAUAUUGUAGCUCAAAGCAUACUAAAGUUAUAAAUCGGGGUUUAAUAAAAUGAACGCGUCGAUAGAUAAAUGAUAAGUGUGUGAGUGACCACUGUUGUCUUUUAUAAAAAUCCGUUCAAUAGCUGCCUUUAUUUCAUUGCGGGAUGUGUUUUGGAACAAUAAAAUGCACGGAUUUUUCAAAUUGACAGCUGUGACACCUGUCAAAGUUUGAUUUGACAUAUUGACAAAUGUCACAUACACCCGAAAAACAUAGAAGUCAAAGAUGAAAGUAAGUUGUGUGUUGUAAAAACUAAAGGAAUUCCACCAAAAAUGUUGAUGCAAGACGGACAAGCGGGCAGGAGAAUGAUAGUGAAAUAUUUAAGAGGAUACGUACCCGGGAGCACAAACGUUUACGAUAAUAUCGUUAUUUCUAUCGCUCUUCAAUAUUGGCGCGACAGAGCCAGACUGUGUUUCAAUCGACGUCUAGCGACGGCGAAUUUCCUGUGAGCAAUUCAGUCAGGGUAUGCUGCAAACAUACCAAGGAGCCAACAAGGAAUGUUGCUAGGCUUACCGCGAGAGAUGUGAAAUGCCAUGACACAAACCAAUUUUAAGUGGGCAUGAUAUAUACUCAACAACAGCGGGCACUACAAGGCUCUGGCAUAGAGUACCUAGAGCAUGGAAUGAGGCUACCAUUGCAUAGUUAAAUAUGAUGUGGCUCCUUCUUGUCAUACUUUCUACAGCUGCAGAAAAAGAAAAACAAUGUAACACUGAACCAGUAAGGUGUAAUUGAACUAAAUGCCAUAAAACCAACUUGUUUGAAAUAGUUUGAAAUAGAUCCAGAAAAGUUAUAAGUGUGAGUGUUACUUUUGUAAUAAUUAAGCCCUUUAGCGUGCGUGCGUGGUGAC
rnacentral:lncRNA from 1 species